rfam:Triticum urartu cultivar G1812 contig333971, whole genome shotgun sequence.
GAAAUACUCCCUCCGUCCCAAAAUUCUUGUCUUAGAUUUGUCUAAAUACGGAUGUAUCAAGUCACAUUUUGGAAUUAGAUACAUGUGUAUCUAGACUAAUCUAAGACUAGAAUUUUGGGACGGAGGGAGUAUAAG